GAGUGGCAAACGGGUGAGUAACACGUGGGUGACCUGCCUUCGAGUGGGGGAUAACGUCCCGAAAGGGACGCUAAUACCGCAUGACAUCCUGCCUUUGGAAAGGCGGAGAUCAAAGCUGGGGAUCGCAAGACCUGGCGCUUGAAGAGGGGCCCGCGCCUGAUUAGCUAGUUGGUGGGGUAAUGGCUCACCAAGGCGACGAUCAGUAUCCGGCCUGAGAGGGCGGACGGACACACUGGGACUGAGACACGGCCCAGACUCCUACGGGAGGCAGCAGUGGGGAAUUGUUCGCAAUGGGCGCAAGCCUGACGACGCAACGCCGCGUGGAGGAUGAAGAUCUUCGGGUCGUAAACUCCUGUCGAGCGGGAAGAACAGCUUUGGGGUGAAUAUCCCCGGGGCCUGACGGUACCGCUAAAGGAAGCCCCGGCUAACUCCGUGCCAGCAGCCGCGGUAAUACGGGGGGGGCAAGCGUUGUUCGGAAUUACUGGGCGUAAAGGGCUCGUAGGCGGCCAACUAAGUCAGACGUGAAAUCCCCAGGCUCAACCUGGGAACUGCGUCUGAUACUGAUUGGCUUGAAUCCGGGAGAGGGAUGCAGAAUUCCAGGUGUAGCGGUGAAAUGCGUAGAUAUCUGGAGGAAUACCGGUGGCGAAGGCGGCAUCCUGGACCGGCAUUGACGCUGAGGAGCGAAAGCCAGGGGAGCAAACGGGAUUAGAUACCCCGGUAGUCCUGGCCCUAAACGAUGAAUGCUUGGUGUGACGGGUAUCGAUCCCUGUCGUGCCGAAGCUAACGCAUUAAGCAUUCCGCCUGGGGAGUACGGUCGCAAGGCUGAAACUCGAAGGAAUUGACGGGGGCCCGCACAAGCGGUGGAGCAUGUGGUUCAAUUCGACGCAACGCGAAGAACCUUACCCAGGCUCGAACGGCAAUUGACAUCCGG
rnacentral:rRNA from 1 species